rnacentral:rRNA from 1 species
UGCGAGUCGAGCGUCUCUAGCUAUGUUGAGACGCGGCAGACGGCUCAGUAACACGUGGCUAACCUACCCUCAGGACGAGGAUAAACCCGGGAAACUGGGGCUAAUACUCGAUAGGUGAGAAUGUCUGGAAUGAUUUCUCAUUCAAAGGGCUUUAGAAACAUGCUUCUAAAGUCGCCUGGGGAUGGGGCCGCGUCCGAUCAGGUUGUUGGUGAGGUAACGGCUCACCAAGCCUAUAACCGGUACGGGCCGUGAGAGCGGUAGCCCGGAGAUGGGUACUGAGACAAGGACCCAGGCCCUACGGGGCGCAGCAGUCGCGAAAACUCCGCAAUGCACGAAAGUGUGACGGGGCUACCCCGAGUGCCAUCCGCUGAGGAUGGCUUUUCUUUGGUGUAACUAGCCGGGGGAAUAAGGAGAGGGCAAGACUGGUGUCAGCCGCCGCGGUAAUACCAGCUCUCCGAGUGGUAGGGAUGAUUAUUGGGCUUAAAGCGUCCGUAGCCGGCUUAGCAAGUCUCCUGUUAAAUUCAGCGACCUAAUCGUUGAGCCGCGGGAGAUACUACUAGGCUAGGAGGCGGGAGAGGUCGACGGUACUUCUGGGGUAGGGGUGAAAUCCUAUAAUCCUUGGAGGACCACCAGUGGCGAAGGCGGUCGACUAGAACGUGCCUGACGGUGAGGGACGAAAGCUGGGGGAGCGAACCGGAUUAGAUACC